UGUAACAGAUGUGUGAAAAACAUUUCGCUGUCUGACAUGUAAAUAGAUUGUGCUUUUGAUAGGAACAACAAUAUUGUAGGAAGCCACUGGUCUCUGAGCAGCUCCGAGACAGAGAUAUGCUAUUCCAUGAUGUCAUAUUUGCUGCUGUCUUCUUUGCUUUUUACUCCUCAGGAAAGGCUCACACUCAAAACUGGGUAAAGCAGUGGCCAGGUGAGGUGUACAGCACACCCGGAGAAAACAUCACCAUACACUGCCAGGCUCAUGGAGACAUUCAGGAAGCUAAGUGUUUAGUAAACUGGUACAUCAAGAACAGACAUGGGAAAUAUGUCAGCAUUAACAAACUAGCUCAGUUUAGUGGGAGACAUUCUGAAGACAAAAAAGAAAGCCACUGGCGCCAGAGCUUUACCCUGACGUCCCUAGAGCUCAACGACACUGGCAGAUUCUACUGUAAUUACUUGUGCAGAAUUAAUGGCACACAUGAGCAGUACUAUGGGACUGGGACUCGACUUUUUGUACAUUUUAGGACUGAAAAUGUGACUAAA